UACGGAGGAUGCGAGCGUUAUCCGGAUUUAUUGGGUUUACAGGGUGCGUAGGCGGACUGUCAAGUCAGCGGUAAAAUUGAGAGGCUCAACCUCUUCCCGCCGUUGAAACUGGUGGUCUUGAGUGGAUGAGAAGUACGCGGAAUGCGUGGUGUAGCGGUGAAAUGCAUAGAUAUCACGCAGAACUCCGAUUGCGAAGGCAGCGUACCGGCAUCCAACUGACGCUGAGGCACGAAAGCGUGGGGAUCAAACAGG
rnacentral:rRNA from 1 species